UACAGAGGGGGCAAGCGUUGUUCGGAAUUACUGGGCGUAAAGGGCGCGUAGGCGGCCUUCUACGUCGAACGUGAAAUCCCCGGGCUCAACCCGGGAACUGCGUCCGAUACUGGCAGGCUUGAAUCCGGGAGAGGGAUGCGGAAUUCCAGGUGUAGCGGUGAAAUGCGUAGAUAUCUGGAGGAACACCGGUGGCGAAGGCGGCAUCCUGGACCGGCAUUGACGCUGAGGCGCGAAAGCCAGGGGAGCAAACGGG
rnacentral:rRNA from 1 species